AGGACGAACGCUGGCGGCGUGCUUAACACAUGCAAGUCGAGCGGAAAGGCCCUUCGGGGUACUCGAGCGGCGAACGGGUGAGUAACACGUGAGUAAUCUGCCCCUAGCUCUGGGAUAGCUCCGGGAAACCGGGAUUAAUACCAGAUACGACCACUUUAGACAUCUGUUGUGGUGGAAAGAAUUUUGGCUAGGGAUGAGCUCGCGGCCUAUCAGCUUGUUGGUGAGGUAACGGCUCACCAAGGCGACGACGGGUAGCCGGCCUGAGAGGGCGACCGGCCACACUGGGACUGAGACACGGCCCAGACUCCUACGGGAGGCAGCAGUGGGGAAUAUUGCGCAAUGGGCGAAAGCCUGACGCAGCGACGCCGCGUGGGGGAUGAAGGCCUUCGGGUUGUAAACCCCUUUCAGCAGGGACGAAGCGAAAGUGACGGUACCUGCAGAGAAGCGCGGCUAACUACGCGCCAGCAGCCGC
rnacentral:rRNA from 1 species